AUUGAACGCUGGCGGCAUGCCUUACACAUGCAAGUCGAACGGCAGCACGGGUGCUUGCACCUGGUGGCGAGUGGCGAACGGGUGAGUAAUACAUCGGAACGUACCUUAUCGUGGGGGAUAACGCAGCGAAAGCUGUGCUAAUACCGCAUACGCCCUGAGGGGGAAAGCGGGGGAUCGAAAGACCUCGCGCGAUUAGAGCGGCCGAUGCCUGAUUAGCUUGUUGGUGGGGUAAAAGCCCACCAAGGCGACGAUCAGUAGCUGGUCUGAGAGGACGAUCAGCCACACUGGGAGUGAGACACGGCCCAGACUGCUACGGGCGGCAGCAGUGUGGAAUUUUGGACAAUGGGGGCAACCCUGAUCCAGCAAUGCCGCGUGAGUGAAGAAGGCCUUCGGGUUGUAAAGCUCUUUUGUCAGGGAAGAAACAGCAGCUCUAACACAGUCUGCGAAUGACGGUACCUGAAGAAUAAGCACCGGCUAACUACGUGCCAGCCGCCGCAGUAA
rnacentral:rRNA from 1 species